CCGGAUAACGCCUGGACCUUCCGUAUUACCGCGGCUGCUGGCACGGAAUUAGCCGGUCCUUAUUCGUAUGGUACCUGCAAAUAGGGACACGUCCCUAACUUUAUCCCCAUACAAAAGCAGUUUACAACCCAUAGGGCCGUCAUCCUGCACGCUACUUGGCUGGUUCAGACUUCCGUCCAUUGACCAAUAUUCCUCACUGCUGCCUCCCGUAGGAGUUUGGACCGUGUCUCAGUUCCAAUGUGGGGGACCUUCCUCUCAGAACCCCUACUGAUCGUUGCCUUGGUGGGCCGUUACCCCGCCAACAAGCUAAUCAGACGCAUCCCCAUCCAUUACCGAUAAAUCUUUACUUCAAAUCUGAUGCCGUCAUCGAAGACUAUGCGGUAUUAGUCUGCCUUUCGGCAGGUUAUCCCACAGUAAUGGGAAGGUUGGAUACGCGUUACUCACCCGUGCGCCGGUCGACGUCCAAAGAGUGCAAGCACUCAAUGCCGUUUCCCCUCGACUUGCAUGUGUUAAGCCUGUAGCUAGCGUUCAUCCUGAGCCAGGAUCAAACCCUC
rnacentral:rRNA from 1 species